GAUCAGGCUGUUGGUGAGGUAAUGGCUCACCAAACCUUUGACCGGUACGGGCCAUGAGAGUGGUAGCCCGGAGAUGGACACUGAGACAAGGGUCCAGGCCCUAAGGGGCGCAGCAACCGCGAAACCUCCACAAUGCACUCACGUGCGAUGGGGCUAUCUCGAGUGCCACCUGAUGAAGGUGGCUUUUCCUAGGUCUUCAAAGCCUUGGGAAUAAGAGGGGGGCAAGACUGGUGUCAGCCGCCGCGGUAACACCAGCCCCUCGAGUGGUGGGGAUGAUUAUUUGGCCUAAAGCGUCCGUAGCCGGCCGAGCAAGUCUUCCGUUAAAUCCAGCGUCUCAAGCGUUGACUGCGGGAGAUACUACACGGCUAGAGAGUGGGAGAGGUCAGCGGUAUUCUGGGGGUAGGGGCGAAAUCCUUUGAUCCCCGGAGGACCACCAGUGGCGAAGGCUGCUGACUAGAACACGUCUGACGGUCAGGGACGAAAGCUGGGGUAGCGAACCGGAUUAGAUACCCGGGGUAGUCCCAGCCGUAAACGAUGCAUGCUAGGUGUUGGGUUGGCCACGAGCCACCCCAGUGCCACAGGGAAGCCGUUAAGCAUGCCGCCUGGGAAGUACGAUCGCAAGAUUGAAACUUAAAGGAAUUGGCGGGGGAGCACCACCAGGCGUGAAGCCUGCGGUUUAAUUGGAGUCAACGCCGGGAACCUUACCGGGAGCGACAGCAGAAUGAAGGCCAGAUUGAAGAUCUUGCCAGACGAGCUGAGAGGAGGUGCAUGGCCGUCGCCAGUUCGUGCCGUGAGGUGUUCCCUUAAGUGAGAUAACGAACGAGACCCGUGCCACAUGUUGCCACUAGUAUCUAAAGGAUAGCUGAGCACUCUUGUGGGACCGCAGCCGAUAAGGCUGAGGAAGGUACGGGCAACGGCAGGUCAGUAUGCCCCGAAUCUCCCGGGCCACACGCGGGCUGCAAUGGUACAGACAGAGGGCUGCCACCCCGAAAGGGGGAGCCAAUCCCUAAACUGUACCUCAGUUGGGAUCGAGGGUUGCAACCCACCCUCGUGAACAUGGAAUGCCUAGUAACCGCCAGUCAUCAUCUGGCGGUGAAUACGUCCCUGCUCCUUGCACACACUGCCCGUCGAACCACCCGAAUGAGGUUUGGGUGAGGAAUGGUCGAAUGUUGGCCGUUUCGAACCUGGGCCUCGUAAGGAGGGUUAAGUCGUAACAAGGUG
rnacentral:rRNA from 1 species